UGCAGAAGUUUUUCGUUGAUCAGCCGUUGAUUUUAGGCCUGUUUUUGUCCAGAAUCCAUGCUGCAGUAUUGUGAUAAUUAAACGACCAGCUCCUCCAGUUUUUUAUUAUACGGUUCCCACGGGUUCAGCGUGUAAAUUUACGGCUAUUGCACUUGUGUGGUGUCAGUGUAUCGGUGUGAUUCGUUUUCUUCCUUGUUUCGGACUAUAGUCCUUCUUUCGGAAGGACACAUCACACUCAUACCGCACCUGCCAUACACCUACGGAAAAAUGAGGACGCUCUGGAUGUGGAUUGCCAGUGCCACAGCCAUCGGGCUUUGCCAGCGAGUACAGGCCAAAAGCGAUUUACUGCCGUCCGAUAACAUACCGUCUGGGACCAAGGAAGCAACAAAGCCGUCACUCGAGGCGCACAAUGUUCCUGCC